GCUCACCGCAUGCAAAGCACGGUGGUUUGGGACAGACGCUUCUCCGCACGGACUUGUCCUCCCGGUCCUUCGGAGUGGAGAGAGCCGGCUGCUGUUUGUGGGGUAUGAUGACUGGAUAUGAAGCAGGAACCUCCAGGGUUGAAAAACAAAGCCAACAGCUGAAGGCUGCAGUUCCUUGAGGUUGUCUCAAAGGUCGCUGGACGCGCCGCUCCUGUGUCAGCGCAGAGCAGGCACACUUUGCUCCCCCUCCCUCCUUUUGUGUUGCACCGUCACGUGAAGUGACUUAGAUGCUUUUGGGGUUGUUAAGUUGUUUACAUAUUAUUUAUAUUUUCUCCAGUUAUUGUUUUUGUUGUUGAGAACUUUUU